rnacentral:rRNA from 1 species
UGGGGGAUAUUGCACAAUGGGGGGAACCCUGAUGCAGCGACGCCGCGUGGGUGAAGGAGCGCUUCGGCGCGUAAAGCCCUAUCGGCAGGGAAGAGGGAAGACGGUACCUGACUAAGAAGCCCCGGCUAACUACGUGCCAGCAGCCGCGGUAAUACGUAGGGGGCAAGCGUUAUCCGGAUUUACUGGGUGUAAAGGGAGCGUAGGCGGCCAAGCAAGUCAGGAGUGAAAGCCCGGGGCCCAACCCCGGGACUGCUUUUGAGACUGCGGGGCUAAGAGUGCCGGAGGGGCAGGCGGAAUUCCUAGUGUAGCGGUGAAAUGCGUAGAUAUUAGGAGGAACACCAGUGGCGAAGGCGGCCUGCUGGACGGUGACUGACGCUGAGGCUCGAAAGCGUGGGGAGCAAACAGG